UACGGAGGGAGCUAGCGUUGUUCGGAAUUACUGGGCGUAAAGCGCACGUAGGCGGCUACUCAAGUCAGAGGUGAAAGCCCAGGGCUCAACCCUGGAACUGCCUUUGAAACUAGGUAGCUAGAAUCUUGGAGAGGUCAGUGGAAUUCCGAGUGUAGAGGUGAAAUUCGUAGAUAUUCGGAAGAACACCAGUGGCGAAGGCGGACUGACUGGACAAGUAUUGACGCUGAGGUGCGAAAGCGUGGGGAGCAAACAGG
rnacentral:rRNA from 1 species